CAACAGUAAACAAACCAAUUGUCUUAAAAGAUGAAACUACAUUGGUGUAAAUCUCGAAUUGGAAUUUUGUUUUUCUAAUCACUGUAGUAUUAAAAAAGAGCCAAACACAAGACACAAAAGAAGUUCAUUUAAUUCUCUAGAAAAUUCUUCAAUACACCAUAAGAAAUCCCUUAUACAUUACACAAACACACUCAAAAUAUCAUUCUUUUUACAAUACAGAGCAUCAUGCACUACAGCAACAAAAAACACACAAGAUCAAAUCUAGACUUGGUAGAAGAGAGACUUUUCAUCUGUUUAGUGAGAAAAUUAACAAUACAAUUUAACAAGUACAACUGACCGA
rnacentral:lncRNA from 1 species